AGAGGGUGCAAACGUUGUUCGGAAUUACUGGGCGUAAAGCGCGUGUAGGCGGCUGCGCAAGUCGGGUGUGAAAGCCCUGGGCUCAACCCAGGAAGUGCACUCGAAACUGCGUAGCUGGAGUCUCGGAGAGGGAGGCGGAAUUCUGGGUGUAGAGGUGAAAUUCGUAGAUAUCCAGAGGAACACCGGUGGCGAAGGCGGCCUCCUGGACGAGAACUGACGCUGAGACGCGAAAGCGUGGGGAGCAAACAGGAUUAGAUACCCUGGUAGUCCACGCCGUAAACGAUGAGUGCUAGAUGUCGCGGGCAUUGACCCCUGCGGUGUCGUAGCUAACGCAUUAAGCACUCCGCCUGGGGAGUACGGCCGCAAGGCUAAA
rnacentral:rRNA from 1 species